AUGAGACUGUGGGGUCUUCUCCUCUGCCUUGUGACAGCUGCCCCAGGUGUCUUGUCCCAGGUGCAGCUGCAGGAAUCAGGCCCAGGACUGGUGACCCCCUCCAAGACACUCUCCCUCACCUGCUCUGUCUCUGGAUUUUCCAUCACAACCAGUGGUUACUGCUGGAGCUGGAUCCGCCAGCCUACAGGGAAGGGCCUACAGUGGUUGGGGCGCAUAUGUUAUAAUGGAAAUACUAACUACAGCCCAUCUGUGAAGAGCCGCAUCUCCAUCUCCAGAGACACAAACCAGAACCAAUUCUCCCUGCAGCUGAACUCUGUGACCCCUGAGGACACAGCUCUGUAUUACUGUGCAAGAGACACAGUGAGAGGAAGUCAGUGCAAGCCCAGACACAAACCUGAGGAAGAUAGGAGACCCAUCACUGGCCUGGCCUUCCCUGUGUGCCAUUCCAGGCGGCCAGACAAGGCUCUGGGCUCAAAUCCACUCUGGGCUGAGGGAGCUCCCAGCUGUCUCCUCACACAGGGCUGA